UACGUAGGGUGCGAGCGUUAAUCGGAAUUACUGGGCGUAAAGCGUGCGCAGGCGGUUUUGUAAGACCGAUGUGAAAUCCCCGGGCUCAACCUGGGAACUGCAUUGGUGACUGCAAGGCUUGAGUGUGUCAGAGGGAGGUGGAAUUCCGCGUGUAGCAGUGAAAUGCGUAGAUAUCUGGAGGAACACCGGUGGCGAAGGCGGCAUCCUGGACCGGUAUUGACGCUGAGGCGCGAAAGCCAGGGGAGCAAACGGGG
rnacentral:rRNA from 1 species